UACAGAGGUCUCAAGCGUUUGUUCGGAUUUAUUGGGCGUAAAGGGUGCGUAGGCGGCGCGGUAAGUCGGGGUGUGAAAUCUCGGAGCUUAACUCCGAAACUGCAUUCGAUACUGCCGUGCUUGAGGACUGGAGAGGAGACUGGAAUUUACGGUGUAGCGGUGAAAUGCGUAGAUAUCGUAAGGAAGACCAGUGGCGAAGGCGGGUCUCUGGACAGUUCCUGACGCUGAGGCACGAAGGCCAGGGGAGCAAACGGG
rnacentral:rRNA from 1 species